GACGAACGCUGGCGGCGUGCUUAACACAUGCAAGUCGAACGGAAAGGCCCUGCUCUUGUGGGGUGCUCGAGUGGCGAACGGGUGAGUAACACGUGAGUAACCUGCCCUUGACUUUGGGAUAACUUCAGGAAACUGGGGCUAAUACCGGAUAGGAGCUCCUGCUGCAUGGUGGGGGUUGGAAAGUUUCGGCGGUUGGGGAUGGACUCGCGGCUUAUCAGCUUGUUGGUGGGGUAGUGGCUUACCAAGGCUUUGACGGGUAGCCGGCCUGAGAGGGUGAACGGCCACAUUGGGACUGAGAGACGGCGCAGACUCCUACGGGAGGCAGCAGUGGGGAAUAUUGCACAAUAGGCGGAAGCCUGAUGCGGCAGCGCCGCGUGCGGGAUGACGGCCUUCGGGUUGUAAACCGCUUUCGCCUGUGACGAAGCGUGAGUGACGGUAAUGGGUAAAGAAGCACCGGCUAACUACGUG
rnacentral:rRNA from 1 species